UACAUACAUAUAUAUAUAUAUAUAUAUAUAUAUAUAUAUAUAUAUAUAUGUAUAUGUAUAUAUAUAUAUAUAUAUAUAUAUAUAUAUACAUAUAUAUAUACACAUACAUAUAUAUAUAUAUAUAUAUACACACACAUAUAUAUAUAUAUGCAUACAUAUAUAUAUAUACAAAUGAAUAUACAUAUAUACAUGUAACAUAUUUGUAUAUAUUACAUAUCUAUCUAGGGUGGGGGACAUUUGCGAGAUCCAUGGACAAGCUCUCCCUCCACCAGCUCUUGUCUCCCAACCUUGCUGCCAUUUCCUGUGUCUCCCAGAGACCAGUGUUUAUCCUUAGGGCUUCAACACAAUACAUAUAUAUGUAUUUAUAUCUAUAUAUGUGUGUAUCUAUGUUUAUAUAUAUACACAAAUACAUACAUACAUCUACAUGCAUGUAUAUAUAUAUAUAUAUACAAGUGUUUGUGUUGUGUUUGUAAUUUGUGUCACAAGAGUAAAGGAGAUGAAAAAUUACUCUAUACAGAAAAAGAAUGUGUAUAUUUAUUUAUAUGCACACACAGAGAGAAGCUUAUAUGUAUAUGUACGUGUGUGUGUGUGUGUGUGUCUGUAUGUAUGUAUAUGUAUGUGUAUAUAAUCAUAAAAAUAUUAGAGAUAUAAAAGUGUAUCUAUGUAUACUGAUACUUCUUGUUAAAUAUACACACACAACAAUGUAUAUAUAUAUAUAUAUAUAUAUAUAUAUAUAUAUAUAUAUAUAUAUAUAUAUAUAUAUAUAUAUAUAUAUAUAUAUAUAUAUAUAUAUAUAUAUAUAUAUAUAUAUAUAUAUAUAUAUAUAUAUAUAUAUAUAUAUAUAUCAAGAAAGAAAGAGUAUGUGGUUAUAUGCAGGUGUCUAUAUGAGUAUAUGUGUGUGUGUAUGCAUGCUUGUAUGUAUGAAUGUAUGGACGCAUAUGCAUGUCUGUAUGUAUACAUGUACCUGCAAUAUAUGAACAGUUAACUUCUUGCAUACUGUAUAGAUAUACAUGAACAUUAUGCAUAGAAAAAAUCGUAACUUUAUGUGGUUGUUUGUUUGACUCACUAGAAAUAGUAACUAAAUAUCUGGUAAUCAACACCCAAUAAAUUAUAAUGACAAUCUAAUUAGAUAAAGUAUUAAGACAGGGAAAAAAAAACUGAAUGUGUUAGACAUUGAUAAACUGACUUUGAUAAUAACUCUGCUUCAUGAGAGCCAACCAAGGGUUAAACAGUAAUAUUGAUAUAGAUAUGACAAACCGGUGCGGUCAUUUGGCCUGCUAGAAAUAAUAAUGCAGCACCCCUCAUAUUUCACACUAUUGUUUUAGAUGAAUGAAGGACAUAAUAGAUGCAUAGAUUAAGGUUUAUAAUCGUAGGAAAAAAAAAAAAAGAAUUAAAAACGUAAAUCACAGUGGAUGAUCAUGUUUGGAAUGCUUUUGAUCAACAAAACUAUUCAAAAAACAUUGACUGAAUGAAAAAAAAGUAGGAAAUAUGAAUGGAUUGCUAUUGCGAAAUAUUUCACUCAGUGAACUUGUAAAGAGAUAUUUUCCUAAAUAUACCUACCUGCACACACACACACAGACACUGACGUGUAUAUAUAUAUAUAUAUAUAUAUAUAUAUAUAUAUAUAUAUAUAUACAUGUAUGCACAUAUAUAUAUAUAUAUAUAUAUGUAUAGAUGCAUAGAUGCAUACACACAUAGAUAUAUAUAUAUAUAUAUAUAUAUAUUUAUAUAUAUAUAUAUAUAUAUAUAUAUAUGUAUAUAUGAUGAUGAUGAUGAUGAUGAUGAAAUAAAUAUGUGUAUGUAUAUAUAUAUAUAUAUAUACAUACACACACACACAUAUAUAUAUGUAUAUAGAUAGAUAGAUAGAUAGAUAGAUAGAUUGAUAGAUAGAUAGAUAGAUAGAUAGAUAGAUAGAUAGAUAGAUAGAUAGAUAGAUAUGAUAUGUAUGUAUAUAUGUGUAGCUUAUGCAAGCAUGGAUGUGUGAUUAAGAAGUUUGUUGCUAAACCCCAUGGUUUCAUGUAGAGUGCCCCUGCUCUGCAAUUUGGAAAAGUGUUUUCUUUUACAGCCUUGGUCAGACCAAUGCUAUGUGAGGGAAUUCAGAAGACAGAAACACCAUUCACUCCCCCCCUCUCUCUCUCUCUCCCUCUCUCUCUCCCUCUCUUUCUAUCUAUCUGUCUAUAUAUAUAUAUAUAUAUAAAUAUAAAUGUUUAUACAUAUACGUGUGUUCACAGACAUACAUAUAUAUAUGUAUAUAUAUAGUAUAUACAUAGGUAAUAUAUACGUAUACAUACACUCACACGUAUAUACCCGUAAAUACAUACAAGUGUAUAUAUGCUACUACUUUUUUAUGUCAAGUACUAAUAAAAAUUACAUUACAAUAAACUGAAAGAUUACUCAAUACAUUUUUGCAGUUCUUAUUUUUAUGAAGAAUAGUCGAUAGUGACUUCGAAGUUUUGGCCAGACACCCUUUAUCACAUUGUCUGAUGAAGACUAAGCAGGCUGAAACUCUAAAGUCAUCGUCAACAUUAUUCUUAUUAAUGAAUAACAAAUACAUGUAUAUAUAUAUAUAUAUAUAUAUAUAUAUAUAUAUAUAUAUAUAUAUAUAUAUAUAUGUAUAUAUAUAUAUAUAUAUAUAUAUGUACAUAUUUUGCUUUUAUGUCUGUGUCUAUAUGAUUUACAUAACAAUGUGUUGUGCGAUGAUAGCCAAAAUGUCACCACUGAAAAUUUAUAAAGUAGAGGCUAAUGAAAUAUUUAACCAGAACCAAAUAAAUUGUGGGAUUUCUAUGAAUAAUUAAAAAAAACACACAAAUAUAAUACACUUGCAUUGGUUAGAGCAGUGAAUGAAGCCUACAUGUUUGUAAAUGUACGAGGGGGUACUGAAAAAAACCCCUGGUUUUUUAGGUUGUUGUGAAAGGCCUGGUUAGCGGACCAACCUUUUGAGUUCUUUUACAGGGUUUAAAAAAAACUGUUGGAUAAGAUCUUAAUUAACUGAUCCUCCUGUAUUUUCUUUUACCCAAAGCCAGGAACUUUUCAGCAACCUCUUGUACAUAAUUUUAUAUACCAGUGAUAAUUAAUUCCUGGCUGUAGUGGGUUACAUCCAUCCAUCCAACCAUACAUACAUACAUUCAUAUGUAUGGCAGAAACGUUAGCACGCCGAGCGAAAUGCGUAGCCGUAUUUCGUCUGCUGUUACGUUCUGAGUUCAAAUUCCGCCGAGGUCAACUUUGCCUUUCAUCCUUUCUGGGUCGAUAAAUAAAGUACCAGUUUCGCACUGGGGUCUAUGUAAUCGACUUAAUCCCUUUGUCUGUCCUUGUUUGUCCCCUCUAUGUUUAGCCCCUUGUGGGUAGUAAAGAAAUAUAUAUAUGUUUGUAUAUAUAUAUGCAUAUAUAUAUGUAUGUAUGUAUGCAUACACACACAUUCACACACAUGCACAUACACACGCACACUCACAUAUAUACAUGCACACAUUUUCACAUAUAUAUAUGUGUGUAUGUAUUUAAGUAUGUAUAAAUAUGUAUGUACAUAUGUCUGAGACACUGGUUAUGUUUGCAUUCCUUGUGGACAGAUACCGGCCAGUAGCUCUAUACCAGCAAAGGCCUGUAGAAUAGAAAAACAAAAUGUAUAAAUGCAUUCCAUGCAGAACAGGUUUACAACAGGAAGAUGAUGAACUGGUUCUUUCAACCUGCCUUUAACUAGAUUCAAUGCAACCACUGCUAGCAAGAAGAAAUGGUAAAGCUAAAGAUAAAGAUAAAGAUAAAGAUAAAGCUAUCUUCCUGAGUUGUACCAACUCAUAAAGGCUGGCUCCCCAGUCUCCAUGGCAUAUAUAUUUGCCAGCCACGACAGGAUGCUGGUCCCAUCACAGAAUUACACAUUUUUGCCAGCCGCAUGGAUUGGAGCAACAUGAAAUGAGGGGUUUUGCUCAAGAACACAAUGCAUCACCUGGUCUAAGAAUAAAAAAACGCUUCCUCACGAUCAUGAGUCCAACAACCAAAUAACUAAGCCACACACCUUCACAAGGAUAAAUGGACAUAAACCAACAAACAAAUGAAUCAACAUAUCUCACUAUACAGCAAUAUAUAUAAAUAUAUAUAUAUUAUGAUAAUAAUUUGAGGGAAUAUUAUUCCUAACUUACAGGAAUAAUAUUCUAUAAUAUGUAAUUUUCUAGAUGGUGUAAUUUAGUUGUUCAUUUUGAAUUGAUAAAAGGUGGCUUUUUUCUAAAUUUUAUAUAUAUAAAUAUGUAUAUAUUUGUAUGUAUAUUGCCAUGAUCGACCACUACCACUAAAGCUUUUUUAUUCUCUCUGUCUAUUUUCUUGUGUUCCUUUCUGUUGAAGAGCGUAGGCUCAAAACAUAAAAGACUUGCUCACCUUCCCGAGCACCUGUUUGUUGUUUCCACACCUGUCUUCAUCUUUUGUUUUUUUGUAAAUUCCAACUAUAUAUAUAUAUGUAUAUCCAUACACAAACACACACACACAUAUAGGCAUCUGUAAGUUUCUGUCUACCAAAUGUCUGAUGCUAUAGAAGAAGACACUUGCCCAAGGUUCUACGCAGUGGGACUGAACCCAGAACCAUGUGGUUUGGAAGCAAACUUUUUACAACAUAGCCAUGUGUGUGCCUACCCAAUAUCUAUAUGUAAAUACACACACAUGCACACACACACACACACACACACACACACACACACACACACAUACAUGUAUGUAUAAAUAAAUAUUUACAAGUAUAUACAUAUAAACACACAUAUAUAUAUAUAAGUAUAUAUAUAUAUACAUGUAUACCUUUGAAUGUAUGCAUGUGCCUAUAUUUUUGUGAGCAUGUGUUGUGUGUGUUGUGUGUGUGUGUGUGUGUGUGUGUGUGUGUGUGUGUGUGUGUGUGUGUGUGUGUGUGUACUUGUUUGAAGAGUGAAAAAUACACUUCUAUAACUCCCGAGCAAACAGGCCACUGGGCAAGUCUUUAUAACCCACUGCACUCAGCAUUCUUUGUAUUGAGUAACGCACUACACGGUUACUUAAUAUUAUUUAAUAACACACAUACAUACAUACAUCCUUCCAUCCAUUCAUCCAUCCAUCCAUCCAUCCAUACAUACAUACAGACAGACAGAUAGAUAGAUAGAUAAAUAAAUGUAUGCAUGCAUAUAUGUAUGUGUGUUUGUAAGUACAAACAUACACAUCUACAUAUACUUGCAAACAUAUAUAAAGAGAUAAGCACACAAGGCAAACAAAUAUACAUGUAUGCAUGUAUUGCUACAUAUACAUACACACACAAACGUGCACAAAUAUAUAUAUAUAUAUAAAGGUAAAAAUAGAUAGAUAGGUAGAUAGAUAGAUUGAUAAGAUUCUGGAUACAAUAUACAUACAUAAAUAUUUUCACUAUAUAAGAUUAUAUAUUUCAAUGUUACAUACAUACAUAUCUACAUAUAAAUAUAGAUAUAUUUGUAAAUAUGCAUACUAUUAUAUAGAUAUCUUUGUAUAUAUAUAUGCAUAUAUAUGUAUGUGUAUACAUAUAUAUUUACAUAUAUACGUGUGUGUAUAUAUAUAUGUGUAUAUGUGUAUGUACAUAUAUAGAUAAAUAGAUAGAUAGACUGAUAGAUCAAUUGCUAGGUAGAUUGAUAGAUAGAUAAACAGAUUGACAGAUAGAUAGAUAGAUAGAUAGAUGGAAAUACUGAGAUGUAUACACACGUAUACAUACAUAUACAUACAUACAUAAGCAUUUGUGUGUUUAUAUGAGCACACACCCAUAAAUAUGCACGCAGUGAUCAUCAUCAUUGUUGGCGCCAUGCUCUUUUUUUUUUUUUUCCAUUCUAAGAUUCUGAGACUGAAGGAAACCAGACGCAGCUUACUUCUGCAUAAAUCCCUGUACUCCCUCAACGAGCUUAGGAAGAAUUGCACAUCGACAUAGACAUGCAUACAAACCUAUAUCUAUCUAUCUAUCUAUCUAUCUAUCUAUAUAUAUAUAUAUAUCUAUAUAUAUAUAUAUAGACAUAUAUAUAUAGAGACAUAUAUAUAUAGACAUAUGUAUAUAUAUAUAUAUUAUAUAUAUAUUAUAUGUAUAUAUUUAUAUAUUUUAAUGCAUAGACACAAACAUGCACACUCACAUAUAUAUAUAUAUAUACAUACAUACAUGCAUUCAGUGACACCUAUAUUUCAAUUCAUUGGCAGGAAUACCUUCCCUCUUCUUUACUCCCUCUGAGUCUGUAUAUGUGUAUGUAUAUGCAUGAUGCAUGUAUCUAUAUAUAUAUAUGUAUGUGUACUUGUACGUGUACAUUUAAGUAUUCAUCUAUAUACAGGCAGUUACAGUGAUAAAAAAAAAAUGGGCCUGUGUGUCUAUCAGUGUACGCAUAUAUUUAUAUAUAUAUAUAUAUAGAUAGAUAGAUAUGCAUGCAAGCUCAUGUGUAUCUGUAUACAUGCAUACAAAAUUCAAAUGUAUAUAUUUUUGCAUACACAAGCACAUGUAUACCUCUUAAGUUUUGCAGUUCCUCUAACAAACACAUACUAUUAUAUCACUCAUACACACACACACAAAUAUAUACAUACAUACACAUACACCCACACACAUACGCAUGUAUAUAUAUACACAUCCAUCCAUAUAUAUAUAUAUAUAUAUAUAUAUAUAUAUAUAUGUACAUACAUAUAUACACAUAAAUACAGACAUACGUACAUACAUAUAUAUACAUAUAUAUAUAUAUAUAUAUAUAUAUAUAUAUAUACAUGUAUAUAUAUAUUCUUCUAUAGCUAUAUCACAGAUACAUACACAUGCUCACACAGACAGACAUAUAUAUAUAUAUACAUUCUUAUAUAGCUACAUCAGAAAUACACACAGACAGACAUACACACACAGACACACAUAUACACACACACAUAUAUAUUCCCCACUGCAGACGCACAUCUUAAUAUAUAUUGGACAUUCCCAGCAGCCCUCUGUGCUGUAGUUUUUAUCGAAGCAUGCAUAAUUUAAAGUGCAGUCCCUUUCUGUAUACAUAGAUUAUGUGGAUUGAAGAGAUGGAUAGAUGCAAUUAGUAUAUUGUGCUGGUUUAAGACAGUGCUGCUGCUGCUGCUGCUGCUGCUGCUGCUACUGCUGCUACUGGCAGCUUGCGGUGCCUGUAUUAGUUGGAAAUGGUAGUGAUGGUGGUGGUGGUGGUGGUGGUGGUGACGGCAGUGGUGGCAGUGGUGCCGUUGUUGUUGUUGUUGUUGUUGUUGUUGUCUUUAGUAAUGGUGGUAGUGGUGGUGGUAGUUAAGGCGGUGGUGGUGGUGGUGGCUGUGGUGGUGGUGGUGGUGGUGUUCGAGGUGAUGCUAGCGCCAGUGCUGGGUCUGAUUGUGCUGUUUGUGUUUUUGUUGUGGUUGCUGGUGGUGGUGGUAUGGUGGUGGUGGUGGUGGUGGUGGUGGUGGUGGUGGUGGCGGUGGUAGUUGUAGUUGUAGUUGUAGUAGUGUUGGUUGUGAGGAUGGUUGUCGUGGUGAUGGUUAUGGUUAUGGUUGCAGUUGUGGUUGUGGUCGUGGUUGUGGUUGCAGUGGUGGUGACAGUGUUGGUGCUGGUUGAGCUGAUAAUAUUAGUGGUAGUGGUGGUGGUGGUGGUGGCUGAAGUGGUAGUGGUUGUUGAAGUGGUAUUAGCUGUUGAAAUGAUGGUGGUGGUAGUAGUGGUAGUGGUGGUCGUGGUGAAAGUGAUGAUAGAUGAGUUGGAGUUGGUGGAUGUGGCGGCAGUAGUAGUGGUGGUGGUGGUGGUGGUAGUGGUGGUGGUGGUGGUGACUUUGGUGGUUGUUGUAGUGGUAGUUGAAAUGGUGUUACUGGUAGUGUUGGUGGUGGUGGCAGUGGUGGUGAUGGUUUUGGUGGUAGUUGAAAUGGUAUUGGUGGUUGUGUUGGUGAUGAUUGUUUUGGUAGUAGUUACAUUGGUGUAUUAAAUUGUAGUAGUAACAGUUGUUGUGCUAGUUGGAGUAGUUACAACAAUGGUAGCCAUGUGGGUAGUGGAUGUAAUGGUGAUGGUAAUGGUAAUGGUUGUUGUGGUAUCAAUGGUUGUAGUACUGAUAGUUGUAUUGGUUAUAGUUGUGGAAGUGGUGAAUAUGGUGUUGGAGAUCAUUGUUGUAAUGAUUCUAGUGGUGGUGGUGGUUGUGGUGAUGACUAUGGUGGUCAAAGUAAUUUUAGAGACAAUUAAAUUGUUGUGGCGUAGGUUGUAGUAUUAAUUGCUGUGUCUGUCAUCAUAGCGGUGGUUGUUCAUGUUGUUGUGGUCGAAGUGGUAGUACUGCAGUGCCAGUGUUAGUGCUGUAGUGAAUUUUACUAUGGUAGCAACAACAAUAGUUGUAGAAGUGUUGGUUAUAGUGGUCGUUAUAGUACCCAGUAUUUUUGAUAACAGUUGUGGUGGUGGUAGUUAGUAGUGGUGGUGGUUGUUACAGUAGUGGAGGUAGUUCAAGGAAAAGUUAUAUUAACAGUAAAUAGCAGUAGUGUAUGUGGUAAUUUUGGCGGUAGUAAUAUGAGUGGUGGUUCGCUACAGCAGUUACGUUUGCGGUUGUUGUAGAGGAUAUAGUACUGAGAGUGGUUAUAGAGACAGCAUGUCUAUUUAUUGUUAUAUAUGCUGUUGUUUUGUUGUAGUUGCUGCUGUUGUUGUUAUUAUUGUUGUUAGCACCACCACCCGCUUCCACUAGAUUCGCAUUCCUGUUUGAGUGAACCUAUAAUCACAGACACUUCCAGCCAUGACCCUCUCGUCAUUCUACAUAUACAUCCACAGACACAUUACCUAAUGUGUCCUUUAUUCCUUUACGACAUUAGAAUGUGAUUUGUGGUAAAUUUAGCUUCUAUGUCUAGCACAUCAACUGACCACACAUAGGAACCUAUUUUAAUUUGUACAACAGUUGUCGAAGCAGUCAUUGUUUGGGAUGUAGUAUUUUUAGCUAUAGCAAUAGUAGUUUCAGUGGUGGUUGUUAUGGCUGUAGUAUAGUUGGUGUUCAUAGGGGUACUACUUGUGGUAGUUGCUGUCGUAGUAUAGAUUGUUGAGGUUGAUGUAAUAUCAAACAGUGAUUAUAGGAGUAUUGUUCAUGGUCGUUGUUACAGUUGGGAUGGUUACUCUGGAUAUAGUACAGGUGGUGAUAAGGGUGGUAGUGUUUGAGGUAGUCACUGUAGUAUAGUGGUGGUGGUGGUGGGGGGGUUGAAGUUGUUUUAGAAGUGGUUAAGGUAGUUGUUACUUUGGUAGUUGUUACUUUUGUGGUGGUAGAUAGGAUGGUAAUGAUGAUGAUGAUGACGAGGAGGAGGAGGAGGACGACGACGACGACGAUGAUAAUGGUGGUGGUGGUGGUAGUGGUGGGGAUGAUGAUGAUGAGGAGGAGGAGGAGAAGGAGGAGGAUAACGACAAUGACGACGAUGAUGAUGGUGGUGGUGGUGGCAGUGGUGGUGAAGAUGAUGAUGAUGAUGAUGAGGAGGAGGAGGAGGAGGAUAAUGGUGACGGUGCAAUGAUGAUGAUGGUGAUGAUGAUGGUGAUCAUGACGAUGGUAGUGGUGAUGGUGCAAUGAUGAUGAUGAUGUUGAUGACGACAACGCUGACGAUGACGACGAUGAAGAAGAUGAUGAAGAGGAUAUUCAUGAUGGUCAUGAUGAUGAUGAUGAUGACAACAACAACAACAACAUUAUGACUUUCAAUCUCUUUUAUGCUAUCCUUCCAUGCCUGUUUCUUUUUACUGCCUUUGUAUUUUUUCUUUGUUUUUUUUCUUUACUAAUUUCUCUCUCUCCCUCUUUCACUUCCUCUCUCUCUCUCUCUCUCUCUCUCACUUCCUCUCUCUCUCUCUCUCUCUCUUUCCUCUCUCUCUUUGUUUCUAUCUUUCAUUCUUUAUAGGAAUGAAUCUCUUUUGCUGCCUCUAACUCUUCCUCUUCUUCUCUCUCCUUCCAUCCCCUCCGCCUCCCCUCUCUCCCUCCUUCUUUCUCUCUCUCUCUCUCUCUACCUCACUCUUCUCCUCCUGUCUAUUUCUAUGGUGUCUGAUUUAUCUUACUGGCACACUGCAUGUCUUUUGCUUAUGUUUGCCUGAUUUUAAAGAUUGUCUGCCUGCAUGUGUCUAUGCAACUCUGCCUGUUUUUAUUCACCUAAAAUUAUUCAUCUCAAUCUAUCGGUUCAACAAUAAUUUUUUUUUUUUUUCCUUUUUGCAUAUUCUUGUAUUUCCUUCUUGAACAAGGGUGGAUAAUAAUCCCCUUACACAGCCUGGUUUAGCACCAUUUCCUGGCCCAUAGGUGCUGCCUUUACCAGAGGCAAAUAUAUUCCAAUCAUUUGGAACAGAUUCUAGCAAAGAUUAUUCUAACCUCACAGUCCACCAUAGUUCUUUAUACUUUCUUACAUACUCUCUUUACUCUUUACUCUUUUACUUGUUUCAGUCAUGUGACUGUGGCCAUGCUGGAGCACUGCCUUUAGUCAAGCAAAUCGACCCCACGACUUAUUCUUUGGAAGCCUAGUACUUAUUCUAUUGGUGUCUUUUGCUGAACUGCUAAGUUAUGGGGAUGUAAACACACCACCAUUAGUUGUCAAGCGAUGUUGUGGGGACAAACACAGACACACAAACAUAUAUACAUAUAUACAUAUAUAUAUAUAUAUAUACAUAUACAUGACGGGCUUCUUUCAGUUUUUUCUUCUACCAAAUCCACUCACAAGGCUUUGGUCGGCUCGAGGCUAUAGAGGAGGACACUUGCCCAAGGUGCCACACAGUGGGACUGAACCCAGAACCAUGUAGUUCGUAAGCAAGCUACUUACCACACAGCCACUCCUACGCCUACAUGUCAACAAAAUAAUCUAAACCCACACUCUUGGACAAUUUUCUCUACCCUUAAAUCUCAUACAUCAGCAGAUCCCAACCUUUUUUUUUGCACCCCAGACCAGUUUAAGCAAAACAAUUUUUCACACAUGAUUUGUAAAAUGCACCCAGUACGCUCUGCUAAGUGGUGGUCAUCAUAGGAACCAUUCUACGGAAGACAUUUGGAGUCUGGACAGCUCCCUGCUAGCUAGCUCCUUGUCAAACCAUCCAACCCAUGCCAGCAUGGAAAGCAGAUGUUAAACAAUGAUUACGAUGAUGAUAGCAAAACAAUAAAGUGUAUGAUAUAUAAUUUAAUUGUUAAAUAUAUAAUGCAUAGAGAAGGCGCAUGGCUCAGUGGUUAGAGCAUCGAGCUUAUGAUCGUGAGGUUGUGAUCGUGAGUUCAAUUCCUGGACCGGGCUGCAUGUUGUGUUCUUGAGCAAGGCACUUUAUUCUACGUUGCUCCAGUUUACUCAGCUAUAGAAAUGAGUUGUGAUGUCACUGGUGCCAAGGUGUAUCGGCCCCUUUGCCUUUCCCAUGGAUAACAUCAGUGGCAUGGAGAGGGGAGGCUGGUAUGCAUGGGUGACUGCUGGCCUUCCAUAAACAACCUUGCCUGGACUUGUGCCUCGGAGGGUAACUUUCUAGGUGCAACCCCAUGGUCAUUCAUGAUCGAAGGGGAUCUCCUCCUCCAUAUAAUUCAUAUAUGAGGUGUUAUGUAAAGGUUCCCGGACUAGUUAUGUUUAAUAAAAAAUAACUUAUAAAUAAAUUUUAACACCAUUUCCUUCAAAAUAGUUACCUUACACAGCAAUACACCGGUCCCUGUUUUCUUGCCACUUUUGGCAUCCUGCCUGGAAAUCGCUUUCCAUAAGCAAGUUGAAGACUUCUGUAAUUCACUCUUGAUCUUGAUAACAGCAUUAAAAUGGUAACCUUUGAGCUGCAUUUUCCUCUUGGGGAAGUGCUGGAAGUCUGCAGGUGCUAAAUUUGGUGAAUAGAUUGGGUAUGGAAGUGAUACCAUGUUGUCUGGGUUGAGAAACUCACAAGAGAGGAGAGCUUGGCAACAGGGGGAAUUGUCAUUGUGAAAAAUCCAAUUCGUUGCACUCCACAAAUCUAUUCACUUUCGCCAAAUGUCCUCCCUCAAGCAUUUCAAAAUGUCCUCCAAAAAUCUUCAUGCACAAGCUGAUGAAUUUUCUCCCCAUUUCUUGGGGUGACGCUCAUGACAGGUCUUCCAAAUCACACUUCAUCUUAAAGGGACAUUCUUCUGCUCUUGAAGAGACCAUGCUACUCAAAACAUUGUCUACAAACCAUUGCCUCAUCCUUGUAAGCUUGCUGAAGCAUUCUCAACGUCUCUGUAGUAGACUUCCUUAGUUUAAUGCAGAAUUUCACAUUGGUUCUUUGUUCCAAGUUCCAGUCCAUGACAAGAAUUGCAAACUACAGCAUGUACAUGAUCACAAAAGCAUAAAUUCCACUACAAUGGCAUUCAGCAUAUUACCUCAUGAAGAUCACUACCAGCUCUCACUGUACACACAACUAUGUGUUGCCAUCUGUUGGCAUGCUACAUAACUAGUCUGAAAACUUUUUGAUAUCACCUCGUAUAUACAUAUAAUGAGGAGGUGCAAUGGCCCAGUUGUUAGGGCAGCGGACUCGCGGUCGGAGAAUUGCAGUUGUGAUUCCCAGAUCGGGCGUUGUGUGUGUUUAUUGAGCGAAAACACCUAAAGGCUCUGGCUGGGGCGAUGGCGACCCCUGUUGUACUCUUUCACCCCAACUUUCUCUCAGUCUCUCUUCUUGUUUUUUGAGUAAGGCUGCGAUGGACUGGCAUCCCGUCCAGCUGGGGGGAACACAUAUGCCACAGAAACCCGGAAACCGGGCCCAUGAGCCUGGCUAGGCUUGAAAAGGGUGCAUAAAAAAAAUAAAUAAAAAUAUGCAUAUAAAAUGCAGUAAUAGUUUGCUUAGGUAUGGUGUUUGUCCCUUUCUCACCCACCCCAUCACUUGACAACCAGUGUCACUGUGUUUAUGAACCCAUAAUUUAGAGGUUCAGCAAAAGAGACCAAUAUAAAAAGUAAUGGGGUUAAUUCUUCCGACUAAAAAUUCUUCAAAGUGGUGCCCCAGCAUGGCCACAGUUUAAUGACUGAAACAAGUGAAUGAUGAAAGAUGAAAGAUGAAAGAUAAAUGAUAUUAAGAUUUAUAUUUCACAGGAAUCUCUGCAGAUUUUUGCUGCUGGACACAUCCUGAAUUUAGUUGAAACUGCAUCUCAAAGACUGGCUUUGGUCCUCAGAGCCAGACAAUAAUUCCAGAUCCCAGCAUUAACAACCGACUCAUUACAAACCUCAGCUGUGACCCAAAAUAGUGCAUUGCACUCACAUCUGGGUUGGUGCUGAUGCAAAGUGUACAUACACCUUAGAUUCCAUGGUAGGAAAGGACACUUGUCUCAUUGGUGUGAAGCUGUUAACUCUCACCACACACACACACACACAGACACACCAACCAUUGGCUCAUAGAUAUACUGUCUCCUCUCUCAGACUUUUCUACUGCUUCUAAUAAGGCCUCUAGGUGAAGGUGCAUGGUUCAGUGGUUAGAGUGUUGGGCUCACAAUCAUGAGGUAGUGAGUUCAAUUCCCAGACCAGGCUGUGUGUUGUGUUCUUGAGCAAGAAACUUUAUUUCAUGUUGCUCCAGUUCACUCAUCUGUAAAAAUGAGCUGUGGUGUCAUUGGUGCCAAGCUGUAUCAGCUUCACCUUUCCCUUGGAUAACAUCGGUGGCCCGGGCAACUGCUGGUCUUCCUCAAAACAACCUUGGAGGGAGGCUUUCUAGAUGCAAUGCCAUGGUCAUUCAUGACCGAACGGGGUCUUUACUCAUUUACCCUAAUAUGGCUUCUGCUCCUCUGAUCUGGUUGAUCCCAUGCUACAUCUACUCAAACACUCAUAAUUCACCCGUCUGCAUGCUUCCUCCUCUUAGCAUCCUUAUCAUAUACCCUCACCAGUCCUUACACUGCCCAAUGCAUCCAGUCCUUGCACUGACCAAUACAUCCAGUCCUUUCUUCUCGUAAUGUUGGCUCUCUGAAAUUUUCCCUUCAUACAUGUUUUACUUGCAGCCAUUAACUUUCAACUGAUCAGGAAGAAUA
rnacentral:lncRNA from 1 species